rnacentral:rRNA from 1 species
AUUGAACGCUGGCGGCAUGCUUUACACAUGCAAGUCGAACGAAGGCUUCGGCCUUAGUGGCGCACGGGUGCGUAACGCGUGGGAAUCUGCCCCUCGGUUCGGAAUAACAGUUAGAAAUGACUGCUAAUACCGGAUGAUGACUUCGGUCCAAAGAUUUAUCGCCGAGGGAUGAGCCCGCGUAGGAUUAGGUAGUUGGUGGGGUAAAGGCCUACCAAGCCGACGAUCCUUAGCUGGUCUGAGAGGAUGAUCAGCCACACUGGGACUGAGACACGGCCCAGACUCCUACGGGAGGCAGCAGUGGGGAAUAUUGGACAAUGGGCGCAAGCCUGAUCCAGCAAUGCCGCGUGAGUGAUGAAGGCCUUAGGGUUGUAAAGCUCUUUUACCCGGGAUGAUAAUGACAGUACCGGGAGAAUAAGCUCCGGCUAACUUCGUGCCAGCCGCCGCAGUAAGAC